rnacentral:lncRNA from 1 species
UAAAGAUCAACACAUUACAUGUCUCGAGUCCUAUUUUUAUUAAAGAUCUUGUCCUUUCUAUAGUUAGAUCAUGGGCAGAAAGUGAUGGCGUAGUUAGGUCCACUAUUGCAUGUAAAUGUACCCUUUUUGUCAUCAUAAGCAUAGCUGUAAGCGUUGGGUUAUGCUUGACUGAAUAUCUGAGAGUAAUUUGUCGGUGGGCAUGUCUCUGGAGUGUUUUGAGGGGGAGUGCAGCAGUACUGUGGCUGAUUCAAUUUAACACAUGCGCUCAAGCAGGCAACCACGCUCCCAUCGGACCCUUUCUUUUGCAGAUCACUCGGACAAACUGCAUUCACGUUCGCCGGGCAACUAGCCGUCUUGCAGUCGCCGGUACCGCCUUGUGGAGUCACAGACAUGGGCAAGUUGAAGCCAUCAACAAGACUAACGCCGUAGAAAUCUUGUCCUCCGCCUGUUGGAAUAUUGAAUUCCGC